ACUCAAAGGAAUAGACGGGGACCCGCACAAGCAGCGGAGCAUGUGGUUUAAUUCGAAGCUACGCGAAAAACCUUACCAAGGCUUGACAUCCCACGCAUAGCCCGGAAACGGGUGAAAGUAUAGCAAUAUAUCGUGGUGACAGAUGGUGCAUGGUUGUCGUCAGCUCGUGUCGUGAGAUGUUCGGUUAAGUCCGAUAACGAGCGCAACCCUUGUCUUCGGUUGCCAGCAUUAAGUUGGGCACUCCGGAGAGACUGCCGUGGUUAACACGGAGGAAGGUGGGGAUGACGUCAAAUCAUCAUGCCUCUUACGUCUUGGGCUACACACGUGCUACAAUGGCCGCUACAAAGAGCUGCGAACCGGUAACGGGGAGCCAAUCUCAAAAAAGCGGUCUCAAUUCGGAUUGAGGGCUGCAACCCGCCCUCAUGAAGUCGGAGUUGCUAGUAAUGGUGGAUCAGCAUGCCACCGUGAAUGCGUUCCCGGGUCUUGCACACACCGCCCGU
rnacentral:rRNA from 1 species